GAAAUUGACCAAGUUAUUCAAGGCCAAAUUUGACGUGUAAAAGCACACUUUGACAUCUAAGUUUGUUCGUUAUAAACUUCACGUGAAGAAAUUGACGAAAAAGAAAAUUGUUCUAUUUUUUCAUUUAUUUGGCGUGAAUUCAGUGUCACCAACCUGUGUCCAUUUGGCGGGAAGUGGAAGUAGAGCUGUAGAGCUUUUUGUUUAUUAUUAUUUGUUGAGGUUGAGUCUUUCAUGUUCAUGACAACCUAAAAAUUUUGAUUGGAAAAUGCAUAUAAGAUAAGGGGGUGGGAAAAUGGAAAUUAGUGGCUUUUUUGCAGUUCUGUCUGUUAGUUUUGCUCUGGCUGGGUCUCUUUUGUUUAAACAAUUAUAAUCAGCUGAAAGUGGUCUACAAAAAAACCAGGAAGGAAACGUAUUAUAGCCUUGUUGUGGCUAUGAAAGGCAAAAGAAAGAUACCUAUAAAAAGUGUAUUGACUAGUUGGAAGAAACUCCACAUUGUCAAUGCAUAAUAAGAUAUUACUUUAUAAACAAAUAUCAAGACCUAGGAAUGGAACCUGGAUAAUAUAGUCAUCAAGAAGAUAGCAGGAAGUCAUGAGCAACAACAACUUCAUAAGUAUGAGAAUAUUGAGGAAAUCCACACUUCUCGAUAUCUACUACUGGACAAACUAGAAGAUUGAAGAGGACAAAGCCUUUUGAACUAGUUUGAGUGAUAGGUGAUAGUGAAAAGCAGAGCGUAGUGCUUGUGUGCUUGUGUAUGUUAGAAUAGUGCACGAUCUUGUUAGAUUAGAUAAGAGACGCUAUGGGGUAAGCUCUUCAUUUUAAGGAACAGUAGUAAUUUAGGUUAAAUUAAAUUUGCUCAUUGGUCAGUUAUGACCAGAUUGUAAUUCUCUGAUGUUUGGCAAAAAGGGCUUAAGUCAGAAUUGCACAUCAAUAAUGUUUUGAUGAUUUCUGGACCAUAAAAAAAGUGUUGCAGACUUACACUGUAUGUACCAAUAAAAAGAGCCGAUUUUUCUGGUCCAGAAAUCAUCAAAACAUUAUCGAUGUGCAAUUCUGACUUAAGCCCUUUUUCCCAAACAUCAGAGAAUUGCAAUGUACAAUUCAAUACAAAUGAAUCAUCAUCCUAGUGAUGAUUAUGGAAAAAAAUAUAUGACAAGAUUUUGUGCAAUAAAAAUGUUUAUAUUUA